rnacentral:tRNA from 1 species
GCGCCAGUAGCUCAGUUGGAUAGAGUAUCAGACUACGAAUCUGAGGGUCAGAGGUUCGACUCCUCUCUGGCGCGCCA